rnacentral:rRNA from 1 species
CAGCAGCCGCGGUAAUACGUAGGGUGCAAGCGUUAAUCGGAAUUACUGGGCGUAAAGCGUGCGCAGGCGGUUUGUUAAGACAGAUGUGAAAUCCCCGGGCUCAACCUGGGAACUGCAUUUGUGACUGGCAAGCUAGAGUGUGGCAGAGGGGGGUGGAAUUCCGCGUGUAGCAGUGAAAUGCGUAGAUAUGCGGAGGAGCACCGAUGGCGAAGGCAGCCCCCUGGGCCAACACUGACGCUCAUGCACGAAAGCGUGGGGAGCAAACAGGAUUAGAUACCCCCGUAGUCCCUGUCUCUUAUAC